rfam:Pleurotus ostreatus PC15 unplaced genomic scaffold scaffold_05, whole genome shotgun sequence.
GGCGAGAUGGCCGAGCGGUCUAAGGCGCCAGACUAAGGAUCAGCUUAUUCGAUGAGCACUCAAUCUGGUCUUUCGGGGCGUGGGUUCGAAUCCCACUCUCGUCA